AGAUGCGGGUCAUGGCGCCCCGAACCCUCAUCCUGCUGCUCUCGGGAGCCCUGGCCCUGACCGAGACCUGGGCCGGCUCCCACUCCAUGAGGUAUUUCUACACCGCUGUGUCCCGGCCCGGCCGCGGGGAGCCCCACUUCAUCGCAGUGGGCUACGUGGACGACACGCAGUUCGUGCGGUUCGACAGCGACGCCGCGAGUCCGAGAGGGGAGCCGCGGGCGCCGUGGGUGGAGCAGGAGGGGCCGGAGUAUUGGGACCGGGAGACACAGAAGUACAAGCGCCAGGCACAGACUGACCGAGUGAGCCUGCGGAACCUGCGCGGCUACUACAACCAGAGCGAGGCCGGGUCUCACAUCAUCCAGAGGAUGUAUGGCUGCGACGUGGGGCCCGACGGGCGCCUCCUCCGCGGGUAUGACCAGUACGCCUACGACGGCAAGGAUUACAUCGCCCUGAACGAGGAUCUGCGCUCCUGGACCGCCGCGGACACGGCGGCUCAGAUCACCCAGCGCAAGUGGGAGGCGGCCCGUGAGGCGGAGCAGCUGAGAGCCUACCUGGAGGGCCUGUGCGUGGAGUGGCUCCGCAGAUACCUGAAGAAUGGGAAGGAGACGCUGCAGCGCGCGGGUCAGGACCAGAAGUCGCUGUUCCUCCCUCAGAGACUAGAACUUUCCAAUGAAUAGGAGAUUAUCCCAGAACACCCAAAGACACACGUGACCCACCAUCCCGUCUCUGACCAUGAGGCCACCCUGAGGUGCUGGGCCCUGGGCUUCUACCCUGCGGAGAUCACACUGACCUGGCAGUGGGAUGGGGAGGACCAAACUCAGGACACUGAGCUUGUGGAGACCAGGCCAGCAGGAGAUGGAACCUUCCAGAAGUGGGCAGCUGUGGUGGUGCCUUCUGGAGAAGAGCAGAGAUACACGUGCCAUGUGCAGCACGAGGGGCUGCCGGAGCCCCUCACCCUGAGAUGGG
rnacentral:misc_RNA from 1 species